UGGGGUUGUGGCUCAGUGGUAGAGUGCUUGCCUAGCAUGCAUGAGGCACUGGGUUCAAUCCUCAGCACCACAA
rnacentral:tRNA from 1 species